UAGGGAAUCUUCGGCAAUGGACGAAAGUCUGACCGAGCAACGCCGCGUGAGUGAAGAAGGUUUUCGGAUCGUAAAACUCUGUUGUUAGAGAAGAACAAGGACGUUAGUAACUGAACGUCCCCUGACGGUAUCUAACCAGAAAGCCACGGCUAACUACGUGCCAGCAGCCGCGGUAAUACGUAGGUGGCAAGCGUUGUCCGGAUUUAUUGGGCGUAAAGCGAGCGCAGGCGGUUGCUUAAGUCUGAUGUGAAAGCCCCCGGCUCAACCGGGGAGGGUCAUUGGAAACUGGGAGACUUGAGUGCAGAAGAGGGGAGUGGAAUUCCAUGUGUAGCGGUGAAAUGCGUAGAUAUAUGGAGGAACACCAGUGGCGAAGGCGGCUCUCUGGUCUGUAACUGACGCUGAGGCGCGAAAGCGUGGGGAGCAAACAGG
rnacentral:rRNA from 1 species